UUGCUUCAGCAGCACACAUACUAAAAUUGGAGUGAUGCAGAGAAAAUUAGCAUGGCCCUUGUGCAAGGAUGACACACAAAUUCAUAAAGUAUGGCAAAUUUUC
ensembl:snRNA U6 U6 spliceosomal RNA